rnacentral:rRNA from 1 species
GACGAACGCUGGCGGCGUGCUUAACACAUGCAAGUCGAACGGAAAGGCCCUGCUUUUGUGGGGUGCUCGAUUGGCGAACGGGUGAGUAACACGUGAGUAACCUGCCCUUGACUUUGGGAUAACUUCAGGAAACUGGGGCUAAUACCGGAUAGGAGCUCCUGCUGCAUGGUGGGGGUUGGAAAGUUUCGGCGGUUGGGGAUGGACUCGCGGCUUAUCAGCUUGUUGGUGGGGUAGUGGCUUACCAAGGCUUUGACGGGUAGCCGGCCUGGGAGGGUGACCGGCGACAUUGGGACUGAGAUACGGCCCAGAAUCCUACGGGAGGCAGCAGUGGGGAAUAUUGCGCAAUGGGGGGAAGCCUGAUGCAGAAACGCCGCGUGCGGGAUGACGGCCUUCGGGUUGUAAACCGCUUUCGCCUGUGACGAAGCGUGAGUGACGGUAAUGGGUAAAGAAGCACCGGCUAACUACGUG